rnacentral:rRNA from 1 species
UACGGGGGGGGCAAGCGUUGUUCGGAAUUACUGGGCGUAAAGGGCUCGUAGGUGGCCAACUAAGUCAGACGUGAAAAUCCCCUCGGCUUAACCGGGGAACUGCGUCUGAUACUGGAUGGCUUGAGUUUGGGAGAGGGACGCGGAAUUCCAGGUGUAGCGGUGAAAUGCGUAGAUAUCUGGAGGAACACCGGUGGCGAAGGCGGCGUCCUGGACCAAUACUGACACUGAGGAGCGAAAGCCAAGGGGAGCGAAACCGGG